rnacentral:tRNA from 1 species
GCGUACAUGGCGAAGUGGUUAACGCACCGGAUUGUGGUUCCGGCACUCGAGGGUUCAAUUCCCUUUGUACGCCCCA